rfam:Sorghum bicolor cultivar BTx623 chromosome 1, whole genome shotgun sequence.
GUAGUCGGGUUCACAUCAAUCCACGUGUUGGGGUUGAUUGGGUGAAACUUGAACUAAAUUCCACCCUAAUCCACCCCAACACAUGUGGAUUGAGGUGAAUCCGACA